AAACCUAGCUCACAUUUCCUUAUCUCCCUAAACUGUCCUGGGCCUCAAUGUCCCAGUACAAAACACAAGGGUGAGUACUUACAAAUCCUAUGGCAUGCCAACUAUAUCCAACGGUAUCAAAAGGUCGCAAGGCCAAUGUAUCCAGAAUAAAACAUACAUAUACUUAUCAUUUCUGCACACUUUCACUGCUCAUUCACUUUAUAAUCACAACAUCAUCACUAUUAUUUGGCUUGUUUAAUAUGCCCACAACUGAGACAUUUCAC
rnacentral:lncRNA from 1 species